UACGUAGAGACCAAGCGUUGUUCGGAUUUACUGGGCGUAAAGGGCGCGUAGGCGGCGUGGUAAGUCACUUGUGAAAUCUCUGAGCUUAGCUCAGAACGGCCAAGUGAUACUGCUGUGCUAGAGUGCAGAAGGGGCAAUCGGAAUUCUUGGUGUAGCGGUGAAAUGCGUAGAUAUCAAGAGGAACACCUGAGGUGUAGACGGGGUUUUGGGCUGACACUGACGCUGAGGCGCGAAAGCCAGGGGAGCAAACGGG
rnacentral:rRNA from 1 species